AGUGAACGCUGGCGGUAGGCCUAACACAUGCGAGUCGAACGGCAGCACAGUAAGAGCUUGCUCUUACGGGUGGCGAGUGGCGGACGGGUGAGGAAUACAUCGGAAUCUACUUUUUCGUGGGGGAUAACGUAGGGAAACUUACGCUAAUACCGCAUACGACCUACGGGUGAAAGCAGGGGAUCUUCGGACCUUGCGCGAUUGAAUGAGCCGAUGUCGGAUUAGCUAGUUGGCGGGGUAAAGGCCCACCAAGGCGACGAUCCGUAGCUGGUCUGAGAGGAUGAUCAGCCACACUGGAACUGGGACACGGUCCAGACUCCUACGGGAGGCAGCAGUGGGGAAUAUUGGACAAUGGGCGCAAGCCUGAUCCAGCCAUACCGCGUGGGUGAAGAGGGCCUUCGGGUUGUAAAGCCCUUUUGUUGGGAAAGAAAAGCAGCAGGUUAAUACCCCGCUGUUCUGACGGUACCCAAAGAAUAAGCACCGGCUAACUUCGUG
rnacentral:rRNA from 1 species